rnacentral:rRNA from 1 species
AGCUGUGCUUGCACAGUGGAUUAGUGGCGAACGGGUGAGUAACACGUGAGUAACCUGCCCUCCACUUUGGGAUAACUCCGAGAAAUCGGGGCUAAUACUGGAUAUGACCUUGGCCCGCAUGGGUUGUGGUGGAAAGUUUUUCGGUGGGGGAUGGGCUCGCGGCCUAUCAGUUUGUUGGUGAGGUAGUGGCUCACCAAGGCGAUGACGGGUAGCCGGCCUGAGAGGGCGACCGGCCACACUGGGACUGAGACACGGCCCAGACUCCUACGGGAGGCAGCAGUGGGGAAUAUUGCACAAUGGGCGAAAGCCUGAUGCAGUGACGCCGCGUGGGGGAUGACGGCCUUCGGGUUGUAAACCUCUUUCAGCAAGGAAGAAGCGAAAGUGACGGUACUUGCAGAAGAAGCGCCGGCUAACUACGUGCCAGCAGCCGCGGUAAUACGUAGGGCGCAAGCGUUGUCCGGAAUUAUUGGGCGUAAAGGGCUUGUAGGUGGCUUGUCGCGUCUGCCGUGAAAACUCGAGGCUUAACCUUGGGCGUGCGGUGGGUACGGGCAGGCUAGAGUGCGGUAGGGGAGACUGGAAUUCCUGGUGUAGCGGUGAAAUGCGCAGAUAUCAGGAGGAACACCGAUGGCGAAGGCAGGUCUCUGGGCCGUUACUGACACUGAGAAGCGAAAGCAUGGGGAGCGAACAGGAUUAGAUACCCUGGUAGUCCAUGCCGUAAACGUUGGGCACUAGGUGUGGGGAGCAUUCCACGUUUUCCGCGCCGUAGCUAACGCAUUAAGUGCCCCGCCUGGGGAGUACGGCCGCAAGGCUAAAACUCAA